GCCUGACUGGCUCAGUCAGUUAAGCAUCUGACUUCGACUCAGGUCAUGAUCUCCCAGUUUGUGAGUUCAAGCCCCGCGUUGGGCU
rnacentral:tRNA from 1 species